rnacentral:rRNA from 1 species
UACGAAGGGGGCUAGCGUUGCUCGGAAUCACUGGGCGUAAAGCGCACGUAGGCGGAUUGUUAAGUCAGGGGUGAAAUCCUGGAGCUCAACUCCAGAACUGCCUUUGAUACUGGCGAUCUCGAGUCCGGGAGAGGUGAGUGGAACUGCGAGUGUAGAGGUGAAAUUCGUAGAUAUUCGCAAGAACACCAGUGGCGAAGGCGGCUCACUG